UGUCUUUGUAUAUGUAAGGUAGAUGCUGAGUUGCGCCACUAGGUGUCGCUGCACAUUAAAACAAGAGUUUACUAUUGAGAAUUGCCUUUUGUCCCUCUGACACACCGUAGGGGUUGAUAUCGCGGGUGUAAUGAGCAUUUCCUUUAGAGUUCUGAUAUCAACCUUGUAGACCCCUGUGUUGUGAAUAAACCAACGGUAUUGCCACGAUCCCGAACCCAUCUGUGUCCGUGUGCAUCUCCUUACCGGCUGCCGCUGCACCCCCCGCCAGAGGUCCAUUUCACACAUAAGCAGACACAACGCAGAGUAGCCUAGCUGUGGAGGUGUUGGAGAGCCGGCAGGCGCGCGCGAGAUACAGAGAGAGGGCUACAACUUUGGUGCCGUGACCCGGAUCGUGGUGUUGCCUUACCGAAGAGGGAAUUCUACAACCAGGCUUGUAUUGAACAUUGAACCGUGAACUUUUCCUGGAGCUGACGGACAUUUGCAACUUUUUUUUCAUGGUUCUGAAGCAACGUUACCGCCCCAGCUAUAUCCUUUGGAGACUGUUGUGAAUACGAAUUACUACUGCUAUUGCAUUUUGAAUAUUUUUCUAAUGGGUAAGCUGAAUUUUGAGUGGAAAUUAAUGGUAAACUGAAGCUAUUUAAAGCUAUUUGAUAUUCGAGGAUAUUUUUCUGUUUGUUUCAAGACUCAUUUAAGCUUGUGUAUUCAGCUAACUGAUAUUUAGUGACAUUUUUGAGUUGAACAUUUAAGUGAACUGACUAAGUAAUUAAGUUUAAUGGCCUAUUAAGUUAAGUUUUUAGACAUAGCUGAUAUUUUUUGGUUACUCUGGUAAUACUGAAAGACAUAUUACACUGCAUUACACACAGACAGUAUUGAAAUACUUUAUUUGCACACAGUAAUUGCAUAUUUCAGACACACACAUUGCGUUGUUACGGCAACAUUUAUUUUGCAUUUCACAUAAAACAUAUAGCAAGAUGACACAGAAUUACACUGAUUCAGCACUUGAGCUGCAAAGUCCCUCCACUGUGACGCCCAGCCUCUUACCUCCAGCUGGGCCUGAAGCAAGUGGUUCAAUGCCCCCUUUGCAACGACACGCUUUCCCAUCCUCCAUGUAUUCAGCUUAUGAGGCUCAGUACAUCACGCCAGUCCGUCCAUCCAGACAGCCGGGCUCCGGGGCUUCAGGACAGAUACCCCCGCUCUGCCUUGACAUCAGUCCUGUCACCAACCCAAGCAGCCCGACGGAGACACCGGCGAAUGCCUCUGUUCACACCCCCAGCGAGCAUGGACCCACAGCCUCCCUGCCUCCACAAAGCACCCCACACAGUGUUAGCGCUCAGAGGCCAGCGGUUCACCGGCUCCCCAUGCCCUACCCCAGAGCCACCCCCUAUGCUUUCCAGUCUGUUAGACCCAGCCCCCCAGUAUACCUAGGCUAUGCACACUCCACCCCUGCAACCCAAAUGCCUGGGCCACGUUUCCAAAUACCGUUAGCAGCAAGCAUAGCUAACCAGCCUGCUGCUAUGGGGCGGACCCCUCAAGUGCAUUUCUCUGAAACAUCUAGUAAUGUUCUGGGUUCCAGCCAUAGUGAUUCAGUGCCCCUACCCCCUGCUCAUGGGUAUGCCCCCAACACCACCCCCUAUAGCCCCCCUGUAAUGUCUGAGCAUACUGCUGCUGAUAUUCACCCCGAUCCUGCAACAUUGCCUAGCCUGUACAGUUACCCACAAGCGCCGCAUUCACAGACCCCUGUUCAAACUAGAGCCAGUGCAAGCCCCCCAGUGUCAGCCUAUGGUGGUUUCAUGCAAACGCAUCAAGUGAAAAAUGUUCCAGUCUUCACGGGUAAUCCAGACUGCAAGAUUUUAGUGGAGGACUGGGUGCGUGACAUGCAAUAUCUCCUGGAAGCGAUUGAACUCCCCACGCACCUGCGUUUUUCCACGGUGGUGAGGCACCUGGGCGGUGAAGCCCGGAAGUUAAUUCUAAACAUACCCAUCCAUAACCAGAGCCCAGAGAAAGCAUUCGAGGAACUGAGAGCAGAGUAUGGCGACGCAAGAGGGUCUUUAGACCCAUUAGCUGACUUCUAUGAGCGGAGCCAAAACCCGGGUGAGUCCGUCUGCUCUUAUGCUAUAGCGCUGGAGUCGAAACUGCGUGCUGUUGAAGAGAAGCAGAGGGGAGGCAAGCCUUUCCCCGACCGUGACAGCAAACUCACCCGCCAGUUCAUGAGAGGGCUCACCGAUGAAGAGGUGUAUAUGAGAAUAGCACCCAUGACACCUAGACUGCUGAGCUUUCGAGAGCUGCAGAAUGAGCUCCGUAACCUGGCAAGAGAAAACAAAAAGUUCCAGUCUCAAAACAAAGGGAAAAAGACUGUUACCCAAGUACAUGUUACGCCAGAGGGAGAUAGAAAUGUGAAACCUGAAAAGGUAAACCCCACUUCUGAAUUAUCAGAGUUGACUGAGAUUGUAAAGAGGCUAGCUCUUAAGCAAGAAGAACAAAUGGCCAAGUUGUCCCACCUUGAGCGGAGAAUAGCUUCACCACCCCCUACCCCCAUCCAAGCAGUUCAGCCCCCACGGGCUAGGGCGGCCCCAAGCACAAGCUUCAUCUGUUAUCGGUGUGGUAAGCUCGGCCACACCGCCCGAAUUUGUAGAGCAGUGCUGCCAGCCCCUGCCCCUGCUGGAACCCCCCAACCAAACGCCCCUGCCGUGGGGCCCACACCCCAAUCAGACCAGCCUUUAAACGCUUAAGGCCCAUGGUAGCUGGGGCAACCAUGGGCAUACAGCGAGGCCCCCAUCCACCCACAAGAGACAUUAGCACUGGAAAAGAGGAGACACCUCUAGUCGGGCCCAGGAACGAAGGAGAAGUCGAAGUCAACGGCAUGCAGUGUAGGGCUCUCAUUGACUCUGGCUCCCAGAUAACCAGCAUCACACACAGCUACUGGCAGAGCCACCCUGUCUUGCAGAGACUGAAGCUAAAGCCCUCCAAAGUACCCAUAGAGGGCGCAGCUGGCCAAACUGUGCCCUACCACGGUGUGGUGAAUAUUGACUUGAAAGUUCUUGGAAAAGAGCAUAAAGCUGUGCCUACCUUCGUAGUUCCUGACUCCGACUACCGUUCUUCAGUCCCCCUUCUAGUGGGCACAAAUGUCAUCAGAGCCUCCCGCAGCCACCUCCAAGCGUCAUAUGGCCAGCAGUUCCUCCAUCUGGUGAAAGAGAAGCAUCCAGAGUGGUACACAGCACUGCUGAAGGUGGGGAGCGCCGAGCAAAGUGAAAUGCAUGAUGUGGUAGGUCCUGCUGUGUACACCGGCCGUAAAGUACGCAUUCCUGCGGGUAAAGAGAUGGAUUUGAGAUGCAAGAUUAAAGAUGGUCCUCGGAGAAAGAUCUACACUGCCCUGAUUGAGAGCCAGGCCUCGGUGCGUCUUCCCCAAGACCUCCUGGUUGCCAAAGUUCUUGUUGAUGUAAAGGGAGGAUGUGCUCCAGUUAGAGUGAUGAACCUGUCCCAGCGUGUCAUAACUAUUAAGCCCCACACAACCCUGGCCAGUGCCGUCCUGAUACACCGCGUUCUGGAGUUUCCUGAGAACGAGGGGGGGGGGCCUGGGAACAAGGAGGCAUGCCUCAGCCUGGGACAAGUGGUGGCGAGCUGUGGUGUGGACCUAAGUGACGCGGCAGUGGAGACCGAAGAUCAACGCACCAGUCUGGAAACACUGCUAAACAAGAAUGCGGAUGUGUUCUUGCAGCACUCCCUGGACUAUGGCCACACCACAACCAUACAGCACGAGAUCCCACUGGUAGACUCAAGGCCUUUCCGAUUACCCUACCGUAAGAUACCCCCAUCCCAAUGGCAAGACGUGCGGCGCAUGUUAACUGAGAUGGAGGCAACCGGGGUCAUCCGUCCAAGUAAAAGCCCUUAUGCCUCACCAGUGGUCGUCGUGACCAAGAAAGAUGGGUCAUUAAGACUCUGUAUUGACUACAGAAAGCUUAACUCCUGCAGCACCCGAGAUGCGUUUCCUCUACCAAGAAUUGAGGAGGCCUUAGAGUCGUUAGGACAAGCUAAAUACUUCUCCACGCUCGACCUGACCUCCGGUUAUUGGCAAGUGGAGGUAGCGGAACACGACAAGCACAAGACAGCCUUUAGCACUCCCAUGGGGCUUUUCGAGGCCAACAGAAUGCCAUUUGGGCUUCAAAACGCCCCCUCCACAUUCCAGAGGUUAAUGACCUGUUGCUUCGGUGACUUGAACUUUACGCAUCUACUUAUUUAUUUGGACGACAUAAUUAUUUUUUCUUCGACCUUCAGUGAACACCUAGACCGACUGCAGUGUGUCUUCAAUCGGCUUAGAGAGCAUGGCUUGAAGCUUAAGCCGUCAAAGUGCCAGUUCGUGAGAAAGGAAGUGAACUACCUGGGUCAUCUGGUGUCGGCAGACGGCAUCAGGACGGACCCGGAGAAGAUCAGCCGUGUCAAAGACUGGCCGAGGCCUACAGACCGCAGGGAAGUGCUUCAAUUCCUUGGGUUUGCUGGCUACUAUAGACGCUACGUCAAGUCAUACUCCAGUCUAGCUGCACCCUUGUACCGCCUCACCUCGGGAGACCCUAGAAGCAAGAAGAGAGGGGCCCAGAAGAAUCCAGCCCCCGAUCCGACCUUUCUGUGGACUUCUGAGUGUGAGGAGGCAUUCCUGGCGUUGAAAGAGAAGCUGACCAAUGCACCGGUCCUGGGCUAUCCAGAUUACAGCCUGCCCUUCCUGCUGCAGACUGACGCGUCGAGAGAUGGGCUUGGGGCUGUGCUUGCACAGAUCCAGGGUGGAGCAGAGAGAGUUGUCGCUUACGCUAGCAGAGGCUUGACCCCACCUGAGACGAGAUAUCCUGCGCACAAGCUCGAAUUCCUCGCUCUUAAGUGGGCGGUCACAGACAAAUUCCAUGACCACCUUUAUGGACGCAAGUUCUCUGUGCUAACGGACAACAACCCUCUGAAGUACGUAAUGAGCACUGCCAAACUCGACGCCACUGGCCAGCGGUGGGUUUCUCACCUGUCGAUCUUUGAUUUUGAUAUCCAGUAUAGGAGGGACCAAGACAACUCUAACGCCGACGCCCUUUCACGCAUGUCCAACCAAGAGGUCAGUGAAGUCCUGCAGACUUGCCCCCAGCAAGUGGUAGCUGAUGUAAAGGGGCAGAAUGAGACACAUGGCACCCAGGAAGUGGAGGAGUCCUCCGGGGAAACUGCUGCUUCUAUGGAGGCGCCAGAGAGUGGCCAGCUGUUGGAGCCGAGUCGACCCUAUGGAGACGUGGGAAUGGAGGCACUGCCCGCUAUGACAACACAGGAGAUUCGGGCAGCGCAAAGAGAAGAUCCGGACAUUGGUCCAGUCCUGCACUUCAAGUCCCGCAACCGGAAACCAAGCCGCACCGAGAGGGUGGAAGUGGGUGCAAGUGGGGGCCUUCUCUUAAAAGAGUGGAGGAGAUUAGUGGUGAAGAAUGGUGUCAUUUACCGGCGGGUCCGUGACUGCCAUAGAGGAGAGUUGGAGCAGCUAAUACUGCCACAGAGGCUGCGUGUAGCUGUUAAAACUGCUCUUCAUGAUGAUUCCGGACAUUUAGGAUUUGAGAGAACAUUGCAGAUGAUACGUGAGAGAUUUUAUUGGCCAAGAAUGUUUCAAGAGAUUAAAGCCUGGUGUGAGCAGUGUGAGCGAUGUUGCCUGAGAAAGACUCCCACAGCUAACGUCAGAGCUCCCCUAGUCAGUAUACACACCAGUGCCCCCAUGGAGUUAGUCUGCAUGGACUAUUUGACGCUUGAGAAGUCCAAAGGUGGCAUUGAAAAUGUGCUCGUUGUCACUGACCACUUCUCCCGUUACGCGCAGGCCUACCCCACCAGGGACCAAAAGGCGGGCACAGUGGCAAGAGUAUUGUGGAGGAACUACUUCAGUCGUUUCGGCUUCCCUGCAAAGCUGCAUUCGGAUAGGGGGCGCAACUUCGAAAGUGCUAUUGUGAAAGAGCUGUGCAAGUGUACCGGCAUUACUAAAACACACACGUCGCCCUACCAUCCUCAGGGGAAUGGGACCACCGAGAGGUUCAACCGUACCCUGAUGAAUAUGCUGGGGACACUAAAGCCGCACUUGAAGCCUCGGUGGCACGAACACUUGGAUGCCAUGACACAUGCAUAUAACUGCUCACAACACGACUCCACCGGGUAUAGCCCGUACUACCUGAUGUUUGGUAGGUACCCACGGCUCCCGAUUGACCUGAUUUUCGGGUCCCCCACCGCAAAUCAGCCCUGUGGAUACCACGAGUAUGUCCAGACUCUGCAUGAUUCUUUGACGGAGGCUUAUACCCUGGCUAACCAAACAUCUCAGCAUGCUAAAGAGCAGCAGAAAAAGUACUAUGAUCUGAAAGCCAGAAGUGAAGACUUUGCUGCUGGGGACCGAGUCUUAGUCAAAGUUUGCCAUGUGGAGGGGAGACAGAAACUGGGAGACCGUUGGGAGUCACGCCCAUAUGUCAUUGUCAAGAAGCAGCCCAACGUACCUGUUUAUGUGGUGAGACCGGAGAAUGGAGGACCGGAGAGGGUGCUGCACAGAAACCUCCUUACCCAGUGCAUGUUCCUGCCUGUGGAUCGAAGUAACCUAGUCUUGGAGGAGAGCCAGCUGGAUAAUGAACCGUGUGAGACUGGUGUUGAUCUGGGUGAAGAUGACAGUAUGGAGGAAGUGGAAGAUGGGGCUUUGACUGGAGCAGUUGGGGGAGAAGAGCACCCCAGCACCGAACUGACCGACACAGAGACACAAGGGGAUAUGCUGGUGACCAGUGGUGGUACCUCUUCCUCUCGAGGCGUUGACACUCCAAGGAGAAGGCCGAGAAGGAGUCGACGUCCUCCCCUGAAACUGUCUUUAGAGUGCCGGGCCAUGGAAGUGGAAAGUGACCAGCAGAAGAUAGAGAGAGGAAGAAAGUUGUGGCAAAGGGCCAAAGCAAGAAGAGCAGCUGGACACAUUUAGGGCCACGUAGUGCACACACCUAGAUGAGUCAGCUCCCCCACACACACAUUUUCUACACACUUUAUACACACACACACACACACUUGUCACAUAUUUGUUUAUUUUUGAAGUUCUUUGAGUUACCUCAUGAGUCUCUUUUGAAUGAGUCUGAUGGCGGGGACGCCAUCUCUUAAAGAAGGGGUGGGUGUAAGGUAGAUGCUGAGUUGCGCCACUAGGUGUCGCUGCACAUUAAAACAAGAGUUUACUAUUGAGAAUUGCCUUUUGUCCCUCUGACACACCGUAGGGGUUGAUAUCGCGGGUGUAAUGAGCAUUUCCUUUAGAGUUCUGAUAUCAACCUUGUAGGUAAGUCACGUUAGUUUCAUGGGAAGAUAAAGUACGAAAUAUUAAGCAUAUAAGCUGUUAUAAGUUUGUUUUGAUGAGCUAUUUUGAUGACUGAAACAUUAAGCACUUGAUAGCUGUGUAAUUUGUUGAGCUAACUACUUUAUAUUUUUGGUAAAAUCUACGUUUGGAAUACGAGUGUAAUAGCGCUAACUUGAAUGAGAUGUAGCAUUGUAAUACACUUUUCUAUUUGAAGUUUACUGAGAGUUCUGAUAUCAACCUUGUAGACCCCUGUGUUGUGAAUAAACCAACGGUAUUGCCACGAUCCCGAACCCAUCUGUGUCCGUGUGCAUCUCCUUACCGGCUGCCGCUGCCCCCCCCGCCAGAGGUCCAUUUCACACAUAAGCAGACACAACGCAGAGUAGCCUAGCUGUGGAGGUGUUGGAGAGCCGGCAGGCGCGCGCGAGAUACAGAGAGAGGGCUACAUAUACAU
rnacentral:lncRNA from 1 species